rnacentral:rRNA from 1 species
GAUGAACGCUAGCGACAGGCCUAACACAUGCAAGUCGAGGGGCAGCACGGUGUAGCAAUACACGGGUGGCGACCGGCGCACGGGUGAGUAACGCGUAUGCAACCUGCCUACUACAAGGGGAUAACCCGUUGAAAGACGGACUAAUACCCUAUAACACAGGGAAUCCGCAUGGAUAUAUUUGUUAAAGAUUUAUCGGUAGUAGAUGGGCAUGCGUUCCAUUAGCUUGUUGGUGAGGUAACGGCUCACCAAGGCAACGAUGGAUAGGGGAACUGAGAGGUUGAUCCCCCACACUGGAACUGAGACACGGUCCAGACUCCUACGGGAGGCAGCAGUGAGGAAUAUUGGUCAAUGGACGAGAGUCUGAACCAGCCAAGUCGCGUGAAGGAAGACGGCCCUACGGGUUGUAAACUUCUUUUGUAAGGGAAUAAAAUAGUCUUACGCGCUAAGACGUUGCAGGUACCUUACGAAUAAGGAUCGGCUAACUCCGUGCCAGCAGCCGCGGUAAACUA